rnacentral:rRNA from 1 species
AAGAAAGAAAAAUCGAUUCCGUCAGUAGCGGCGAGCGAAAGCGGAACAGCCCAAACCGCGGGGGUUUUCCCCUGCGGGGUUGUAGGGCCUUUCACAUGGGAGUUACAAAGCGAUCCGCUAGCAGAAUGGUUGUGGAAACACCGGCCACAGAGGGUGACAGUCCCGUACGCGACAGUGGCAUCGUCUCUCGAAAGGUACCUGAGUAGGUCCGGUCACGUGGAACCCGGACUGAAUCUACGGGGACCAUCCCGUAAGGCUAAAUACUCCCUGAUGACCGAUAGUGAACUCAGUAGGGUGACUGAAAGAUGGGAAGAACCCCUGCUAGGGGAGGACACUGAACCUGAAACCAUGUGCCUACAAGCGGUCGGAGCACUAUGUCUCGAUUUAUCGAGAAAUGUGUGACGGCGUGCCUUUUGCAUAAUGAUCCGGCGAGUUACCGUCUGCGGCUUGGUUANNNNNNNNNNNNNNNNNNNNNNNNNNNNUUUGGUCGUAGGUGGUAGACGCGAAACCUGGUGAUCUACCCAUGGGCAGGUUGAAGCGCGGGUUAUAUCGCGUGGAGGACCGAACCCACUUAGGUUGAAAACUGAGGGGAUGACCUGUGGGGAGGAGUGAAAGUCUAAUCAAACCAGGAGAUAGCUCGUUCUCUCCGAAAUAGCUUUAGGGCUAGCCUUGAGCCACUACGCGGCGGGGGUAGAGAUACUGAAUCGGUUUGGGGCCCUUCCCGGGGUACCCUGCUGAACCAAACUCCGAAUACCGGUUGCGACUAUCUCGGGAGUCAGUCCGCGAGGGAUAAGCUUCGCGGUCGAGAGGGAAACAACCCAGACCAUCGGCUAAGGUCCCCAAGUCAUGCUCAGUCACUAAGGAAGUUGAAUUGCUGAGACAGCCAGGAUGUUGGCUUAGAAGCAGCCACCAUUUAAAAAGUGCGUAACAGCUUACUGGUCGAGCAAUUCUGCGCCGAUAAUGAACGGGAGUAAGCAUGACACCGAAGCCGUGAGUGCAGUGAUUCUUCGGAUGAUCUGUGCGGUAGGAGAGCGCUGUAGGUCAGAUACGAGCCGUACCGAAAGGAGCGGUGGUGGGGCCUACAGGUGAUUAUGCCGGAAUGAGUAACGAUAAAGCAGGUGAGAAUCCUGCUCGCCGAAAGCCUAAGGUUUCCUGGGGAAGGUAAUUCCGCCCAGGGUUAGCCGGUCCCUAAGGCGAGGCCGAAAGGCGUAGCCGAUGGACAGCAGGUCAACAUUCCUGCGCCACAAAGCUGACUGAUGGAGUGACGGCGAUUGAAAGGUGAGGGGACGAAUAGAAAUGUCCCUCGCCUCAUCGUGAGGUGGUCGAAAGGUAAAUCCGCGACAGAAUCCAAGCGAUGGGGACAACGGCAUUUAUGUUCCGUAUGUCAUCUGCAGGUCGUCCAAGAAAAGCUUCUAGGGUUGAAGCUUUGUGACCGUACUAAAACUGACACAGGUAGGCGAGACGAGAAGUCUAAGGCGCUCGGGAGAACACUGGUUAAGGAACUCUGCAAAAUGGCCCCGUAAGUUCGCGAUAAGGGGUGCCUCUGGCGGUUCACGCUGCUGGGGGCCACAGUAAAUCGGCUUCUGCGACUGUUUAUCAAAAACACAGGACUCUGCUAACUCGUAAGAGGAUGUAUAGAGUCUGACGCCUGCCCGGUGCCGGUAGGUUAAGGAAGAGGGUUAGCUCCUUCGGGUGCGAAGCUCGCGACCGAAGCCCCGGUAAACGGCGGCCGUAACUAUGACGGUCCUAAGGUAGUUUCUUGACUGCCCUUUCUUGUGGUAACACAAGGUUUUGCAUCUGGCUGUAUGCUGGAACAUCUGAGCAUCCGUCGGUACUCGCCCAGUUUCCCGUUCCGCUUUCGAGCGGUUCGUGUGGGCAGUGACAAUCCGUGCGGUGCAGACAACCAGCAGGAAACCAAAGUUGAAUUCGCUUCUCGCUGAAAACAAUUCAACCAGUAGGAUCCUCAGAGACUAUACGCCAGACAUCCAAGUUGCUUUGGAUGAAGAGAUAGUCCGAGCUGCAUGGCGACAUGCAGAGGCUGGCAGAAAUGACCGGCCCGCUGAAAGCGCGCGUACCCAGUACUCGGUAAUCAGUAGUAACAAUGCUGAGCGAAGUUCCUUGUCGGGUAAGUUCCGACCUGCAUGAAAGGCGUAACGACAGGAGCACUGUCUCAACCAGUGACCCGGUGAAAUUGUAGUCGUGGUGAAGAUGCCACGUACCCGCGGUUAGACGGAAAGACCCCGUGAACCUUUACUGUAGGCUGAUAUUGGGCCUGGGUAUGGCUUGUGUAGGAUAGGUGGGAGGCUUUGAAGCCGGGACGCCAGUUCGGGUGGAGCCAACCUUGAAAUACCACCCUGGUUAUACUUUGGUUCUAACGCUGAUUCCCGUGAAUCUGGGCAGCGGACAGUUUCAGCUGGGCAGUUUGACUGGGGCGGUCUCCUCAAUG